ensembl:rRNA 5S_rRNA 5S ribosomal RNA
AUCGACGGCCAUACCACCCUGAACGCGCCGGAUCUCAUCUGAUCUCGGAAGCUAAGCAGGGUCGGGCCUGGUUAGUACUUGGAUGGGAGAAGAAGUUCUCCAUAAUCCUCCCUAAGAGAAUGGGUGUUUUCCUCC